CAGCAGCCACGGUAAUACGUAGGUGGCAAGCGUUGUCCGGAAUUAUUGGGCGUAAAGCGCGCGCAGGCGGAUCAGUCAGUCUGUCUUAAAAGUUCGGGGCUUAACCCCGUGAUGGGAUGGAAACUGCUGAUCUAGAGUAUCGGAGAGGAAAGUGGAAUUCCUAGUGUAGCGGUGAAAUGCGUAGAUAUUAGGAAGAACACCAGUGGCGAAGGCGACCUUCUGGACGAAAACUGACGCUGAGGCGCGAAAGCCAGGGGAGCGAACGGGAUUAGAUACCCGUGUAGUCCCUGUCUCUUAUACA
rnacentral:rRNA from 1 species